AAAAAGGAGUCAUAUUGUCUUUUUGGUCAUUAAGGACAUUGACUGACUGCUUAAAAAACAUUUUUACCCUGAAGCUAAAAACUGUCAUUGGCAAUGUAAUAAAAAUAUUCUGUUACAGAACAGCUGGGGAUAGGCAAUUGGUAGAUACCAACACAUAGAAAUGGAAAUUGACUCCUGGGCCUACAGCAUCACCAUCAGCAUUCCUGGCUCACAGUCUGUUUUAGUAAUCAAGAGAUUACUGAAUGAGCAAAUUAAAAGUUCCAUGACAUCUUCAUUUGAACUGUAAUUAUAUUUCAAUACUCCAUAAACAUUUGAAGCUGCGGAGGAGUUAACAGCAGCUGUAAGCAAUGGGCAGGGAAAACUCAUUCACACCCAUACAAUAACUUACAAACCACCUUUUUUGUCUUAUAUUCUCUGCCCUAGGCAUCUAUAAAGGUCUGUUAAACAGCGUAGGUGAAAUGCUUUUCUUUCAAGGUAUCAAAAUUACCUCUUUGCAAAAAAAGGAUGUUAAAAAAAUCCAAAUAUGUCUAAAGGCAUUUCAUGUUCCUGAAUUGUAAAUUAACACAGAUGUUGGACCAAAAAAAAAAAAAAUAUCUAGCUGGCAGAUCUAGUGAAAUAGUGGGAGGCACCAUGGGGAAAAAAAUCACUGAUUUCCUCAGAUCAGAUGCAGCUUCAGACAAAUGAAAGAAAGUAAGAGCAGAAUACUUUUAACAGGGGAGACAAUGGGCUAUUUUGACAGUACAUCAGCCUGAUAGAUUUGCCAGCCUUUGUCAGUGCUUGUCCUCCAUCAUCAUCCCAGUAGGACUUCGAAGACUAUCCAGGCAUUACCCCUUUCACUGAAUAUAACAAGUUAUUAUCUGCAUACACUGCACCAUUCAGCUGAAGAGGAACAUUUGUGGACAGCACAAUACCUGAGUCCUAAGAAAACAGAAGGCUUCAAGUGUGGCUUCAGGGAAUUGUCAGAACAAUCAAGAACAAGACCCUCUGAUUCCUGAAACAGCUCAGUAAACAAACUGGGGAGACGUGACCUAAACUCAGAAGGCCUCACUCACACAAUGCAAGACUUCAUUGAAUCAGAGAAUUGUUAAGGUUGGAAAAGACCUCUAAGAUCAUUGAGUCCAACCGUCUACCUAUCCUCACCAUGUCCACUAACCAUGUCUCUCAAUGCCACAUCCACACAAUUCUUGAACACCUCCAGGGACACUGACUCUACUACCUCCCUGAGCAGCCUGUGCCACUGCCUGACAACCUUCCCUAUGUGAACAAGUUUUUCCUAAUAUCCAGUUUGAACUUCCCCUGGCACAACUUAAGGCCAUUACCUCUCAUCCUAUUACUGCUAUGUGGGAGAAGGGGCCAACACCAACCUUGCUUCAACCUCCUUUCAAGUAGACUCUGAAACCUUUUGCUUCCUCUCUGUCUCCUCAGGGCCACAGGAGCAGAGCAGCAGCCAGAAGCAGUGCACAAGCAGAUGUUCCUUCAUCACAUAGGUCUCAAUCCCAAACAGGCUGAUAUGGACAUCUGAUUUCAUGCCUACAAAUACGCUGACUGCCAAGCAGCCACUUGCUGUGGACGGAGAGCUGAUGCUGCGCUCGAGCCCCGUUCUGCACAGUCAGGUGGAGGUGCCUCAGAAGACAGGAUGGGCAGACAGAGUUAGAGGAUGGCUGAAAUAUUCUGAGGAAAAUGAAGUACGUAGUGACAGGGGUUGAAGAAACAGGAUUAUGCUGGAUGGAAAGAGAAGAAACACUGAGAAGGAAAUCAUUUCAAUUCAGAUUUUAUCAGACUUAGGUUAAAGAAAACAAGCAAGGAAGGCCAAACAUAAAAUAUUUGAAGCAGCAGAAGCUGGGCUGCCAAGGGCAUCUUACUGACCCCAUCAGGUCAGAGCACUGCUAGAGCUGGCUGGACCUUGAGCUGUGAUUCAAGAGACACCAGGUAUUUAGAAGGGACGGAGUGAAGUUGGAGAUAUACCAGGGAAAAUUCUAAGAAUAAAGGUAGCUGUUAUUAACUAUGUAACUGAAACAUCUAUUUUUAUCUUUUUAAGGAUGCAGAUAUGAAUGAUAUACCAGUUAAUUGAUUCAGCUAUUCAAAAAGCCUGUUAUUUUUCAUCAGUGCUACAUGAGCCAAGUAGUGCGUAUAUGUGCAUGCAAUGCAUGCUAAAGUGUAGGAUUCGGCUAAAAGUCAACUCCAGGAAGACAACCCCUGAAGAUCUUGCCAGUGGAAGCUGUCUCUUUAUUGUGGCUACUGUUGCUGUAGUGUGACUGCUUCAAAAAAGAUUAAUUUUUUAUUCUCCCAGGCCUUAUGUAAGAGCAGAGAAACAGUUCUUUUCUACAGAUGGGAAACUGAAGUUAAAAGAUUAUGACUUCACUUUGUGCUGGCAGGCAAGAAAAUGAGGAGGAGCAGACCUCCCUGCUUCUUUCUGUGACCUUUCAUGUGAAGCGGCUGCAAUUUCUUCCCUUUUGGUUCAUUUCCACUACACAGGUUUUGAUGGGUUUUGUAUACAGAACAGCAAGUGGGGUCAAGGACUUGAUUCUAUUUAUCAAGAGUCAGACGUCAAAAGCAAGCAGUCUCUCAUUGUCAGCAACUGCCUCCCAUAAAUGGAGGCAGCAUAUAUGUACAGAUAUACAAACAACUCUUUCCCAGUGCUCUUCCUGAGGCAGUACAGCUGGGCUUUCACAGUAGCAAAGAUGGCAUAUGCUGCUUGUUUACCAGAGAGGGGAAAUUUCUAUGGCUGUCCCGGGCUUUCCUCAAGGCAUCGGAGAAGAAUGUGGCAGAAUCAGUGCCAAAUGGACCUGGUCCUCAGUCCUAGCCUGAUAUCUUACCUACAGACAAGAUCACAGGCAAGGAGCCAGAUCACACACCCAGAGCCCCAGGAGAUCCAGAGCCCACCAGGUAAACUAAAUAGAAGCAGCAGGCUGGCAUGGGAAGGGACAGACUGUGCCUUUGUCAUUUGCCAAGUGCUCAUAAUUUUCUGGUAUCAACCGCUUGGUACUCAGUGCAGGUUUCUUAAGGCUGUCAUGAUUGUCUUUGAAUAAAGAGCAUAUGUGAUUGGGUCCUUUCUGGUGAACUGACAGGGCAAUAACUUUCACACAAGAAUCAGAUUAGUUGAUAGUAAAGAUACAUAGGAUGUGUUGUGUGAAGGACAUGAGUGGUUCUUGCUGUUGUUUCACUGAAAUAACUUUGCUUUCCUGAAUGCAAUAUGAAAACGUACUGAGAAAAGUAGGCUGAAUGUAGCUCAGUGACACUGGCAUUCUGGCAUUAAGAUGUGCCCAGUACUUUACGUUGGCCUCUCACUGCUCUUUUCAAGGUUCAGCAUUAAUAAUAAUUCUUCUGAAAGUCAGAUUGCUUUGUGCAAUUUUCCUGUGUAGAAUGACUCAGUUGCUCAGUUCAAGAAAGAAAGGAUCUAAUGAAGCCAGAAGCAAAAUAUACUGAACUUAAAUCUCAGGGCAUCUCUCAGUCUCACUUUUCUUUCUUCAUGCAUGGCUAAAUAUAUCUAUUUUGAGGAUAAAAGAUGUAGCUUUUACCCACAAAAAGAAUAGAUUAAAUAAAAGCAACUCCUUUUUCUGACAGUCCUUUGAUGAAAGGGUUAUUGUUGGUUAAACCGAACGUACCAGCAUUCUAACCUUUCCUGAGCUGGUUUUACUACAGCCAAACCCACUUGUGCCUACAUAGAGACUGUCUGUCUGUCAUGCACAUGGCACAUGGAGUCUUAUGCAUUGCUAGGCUUAGAUCUGGUCAUAGCAACUGCUAGGCGCCUUUCCAUGGAGACCUCCAUCAGUCAUGGCAAUGAUGGGGCAGGGACCUUCUGGCCUCUCCAAACAGGUGGAGAUUUUGCAGCCAGUACUAGAAAAAGCCCCAGUCAUGUACAUUGUCCAGUUAGUCCAGUCUAUGUCUUCAUGUGAAGGGAAGUUCUUUCUCUGGACAAGGAGGCUGAUGUUACCAAAGGAGAAGACACUGCUGAGAAUCAGUUCUGCAGCUAACCCUGACGACUCUUCUCAACCAAGGAAAAACAUUAUCGUUAAUGGUAAAUCACAUCCUUACUUGCAGGUGGCCAAUGUUACUAAAGUGACCUGUGUCUUCAACAAAAGCAGUCUUUGGUUUUGCAAUAGAAGGGAAA